rnacentral:lncRNA from 1 species
GGUUUCUCUGUGUAGCCCUGGCUGUCCUGGAACUCACUCUGUAGACCAGGCUGGCCUCGAACUCAGAAAUCCGCCUGCCUCUGCCUCCCAAGUGCUGGGAUUAAAGGCGUGUGCCACCACUGCCCACCGGUAUUUAGCCUUUUUAAUAAACAUGGUCAAUUAUUAAAAAAAGAAAAACCAUCUGGAGACUGAUUAGAAAAGAGAGAGAGAAAGAAACAGAGACAGAGAGAGAAAAAGAGAGACAGAGACAGACAGACUGCAUCCUUGUGCACUUGAUUGAGAGCACUCAAAGAGAAAAUUGCCGAGCUAGGUAAUUUGUAACUUGCUUUUAAAUUCAGGGACUGAAAGAAAAGCCCUUUCCUCUCAAGCUUGAAAUCUGUUUUUUUUUUUUUUUCUUUUAUUUUAAAUCGAUUUGCAGCUUCUGUUCUGAGAACUUUCUGAUCCUUGAUUGUUAAUACUUGAUAAGGAGCUGAAUCAGUGGAGGAACACUGUGGGGGUUGAGAACAUAGCUAGCAGAGUAUGAGAACUGUGGGGUUGAGAACAUAGCUAGCAGAGUGCUUUGCUGCAUUGUAAUUUUGUCAUAAUCUGGGGAUCUUAAAGCCUACGAUUAAAGCCUCAGCUAUUAUAUGCCAUCCUUUGAUAGGGAUGGAAGGUAGCAUGGUUUUGACUGUGUUGAAUGGAAGUGGGAAGUAAUUACUUUUGACUGCACACUCGUGAGGGAAAGAAUUACUUUAGUCCUUCUUAGUGGUUCAUUGUGUGUUUUCUGUAGUCCUGAAGAGAAAGAGUCUCUGAGACCCCUGAGUCCACAGUUUGAAUACUUAAUUGGCCUUGGACUUUGUUCUCCUUAUUAAUUGGUCUAAAUACAUUUGAAUAGAAUUACGACUAGUGGGAGAGCCCCUAGGGAACAUCUUAUAUUUCAAGUUAAUGUAGAGAUAUUAUUUCUAGUCUCAAACUACAUGUUUACAUUUAUCUCAUGGGCCAUAUGUUGUUCCCCCAACAAACAUUUAUUUGGUUAAUUACUUUUUAAUCUAACCUGGUGAUUUUAAAUGGAGUAACGGCCAGAGAGAUGGCGUGGUGGCUAAGAACACUGGCUGCUGUUUCAGUGAUCCAGAUUUGGCUCUCAGCACCCACAUCUGACAGCUCACAACUGCCCAUAAGCCUGACUCCAGGGGGUUUGUCACCUUCUUCUAGCCUUCACAAAAAAACCACAUACAUACACACACACACAUACAGAGAGAGAGAGAGAGAGAGAGAGAGAGAGAGAGAACCCAUAUACAUAAACUAAAAACAAAAGAUGCUUAAAAUGUGGUAAUAUAAGAUACAGCGUGUUCUCCUGUCUUGAUGUUGGAUUGGUUACAUGACACUUUAGAGGUACAUCACAUAUUCACACAGCAUUUAUUGAGAGGCUAUUCUGUCCCAGACAACAUGCUAGUUAUUGUUAAAACAAAAACAAAAGCAAACUCAGCCUCUGUUGAAGAAUAACUUAUAAAUAGUUAAAUACUAUACCAAGUGGUCAACUUGGAAAAAUUAUUGCUCAUGUUCAGCCUUCUGCAAGGGUCCUGGUUAGAGUAUGGCUGCUUAACAUACCCUACAACAGUUAAGAUUUUGUAACAUUAGUAAGUACUAUAGUAUAUUAUUUUACCUGGUUUUUUUUGUUGUUGUUGUUGUUUUUAAAGAAAAGGUCUAGUGUAUCACAGGCUGGCCUUGAACAAUUGAGCAUAACCUAGAACUUCAUUUGUUUGCUUGUUUAUACAGCCUUGGCUGUUCUGGAACUCACUCUGUAGACCAGAUUGGUCUGGAACUCCCAGAGAUCCACCUGCCUCUGCUUCCCAAGUGCUGGGAUUAAAGGUGUGUCACCAUGCCCAGUAGUUGAUCCUACUUAGCAUUGCUGGGUAAGGAACUCUACCAACUGAGUUAUAGCCAGAGGCCCUCAUUUUACCUUUGAAAUGGCUCUAGCCAUUAAUUAUCUUAGGUUUAAAUUUCAGUUACUAUUUUUUUGGUGACAUAUUUUUGAAGGGUUAUUAAAUGCUUAGUCUUCAUUUUUUAUAGUAACAUUUCCAGACUUAUGAGAUGGUUUACAUGUUGUCCUGUGUAUGUGCAUGUGCAUGUCUGUGUUCAUAUAUGUGUAUGCUUACAGGGUGUGUGUACACAUGUGUCUGUGUUCAUAUAUGUGUAUGCUUACAGGGUGUGUGUACACAUGUGUCUGUGUUCAUGUAUGUGCAGCUAAUGUAUUUGUUUAGGUGCACUUUGAUAUUAGUGUUAAAAUGCUAAUAUUCAUUGCAUUUUGUGCUCAUUGUACUUUCUGGCCAGUGAUCAGAUAAUGGUAAUUUAAUAAUAAGCAACAAACAUUUUGUGUAAUAUGAUAAUAGUAUUAACUAGUAGUCAAUAGUUAAUAUGGUUCUUUCAAUUUUCAACAGAGACCUGGUCCAUAUUAUUUUAACCCUCAUCUACUUUGGAAGGUUCAAAUGCAAGGAUAGCUUCAGGUGUAAAUGGUCAAGCUAUUUGGAAGAAAAAGCAAUGGAGACCUUCCAAGUAUGAAGCAGUUUUUCACAUUUUGGUAAGGAAGGAAAUGCAAGUGGGCAAAUAGUAUGUAGAAAGGAGUAGAAAAAUAUUUAAUAAAGGUUUGAACCUUGCACUGUCCAAGUUGGGGCAGUGAUUAGGGAAGCGAAAUACAGUGUUCUUCUCUGCUUUUCAUCACACUCUUUCAAAUGUUCACUUCUUACAUAACCACGGUACAUCUGUCAUGUCUAAGAAUUGGUAGAUGAUUUCUUACUAAACUACAGACUUGGAUAUCACAAAAAUGUCACCUCACCUUCUCUUUUCUGUGCAGAAUCCAAUCCAGAAUUCCACAUUGCAGUCAAACUGUAAUUUUUUUUUAACCGUGGCCUCAUUCUGUGGUUCUUGCUGCUUAGAGCUUGCUCUCCAUAGCUUCCGAUCUGUCGGGGUUUGGGUGUGUGUGUGAGUGUUGAGCUUCUCCUCACACUAAGUUGGGAGUGAAGACAAAUGGCUGUAAUUCCUGAAUGAGAGAGAUGGGGACAGCAGGAGGAGGAGUGUUAAGGUCAUCCUCAGCUACAUAUCGAGCUUGAGGCUAACCUGGGCUACAUAAAUCUCUGCCUUUCCUCCCCGUAGACUAACCAAACAAUCAGAAAAAAAGAUUGUUCUCCUUUCAGUUACAUACUUUUUUCCUUAAAACUAAGACUGGAGGGGUCUGGAAAGAUGGUUCAGUGGUUGCAAGUGCUUGCUAUUCUUCCAGAGGAUCCAGGUUCUGUUUCCAGCAUCCACAGGACAGCUCACAGCUGCCAGUUCCAGAAGAUUCAGUGGCUGCUGCUGGCCUUCAAGGGCACCAUGCUUACAGGUGGGGCAUACAGAUACAUGCAGGCAAACCACUCACACACAUAAAAAAGAGAGUGGAGGGCCAGCAACACAGCGCAUCAGGUUGAAAGUGCUUGCCACACGAGCCUGACAACUUGGAUUUGAUCCCUGGAACCCACAGUGGAGAGGGAGCACCAGCUCCUGGAAACGGUCCUGUGACCGCUAUAUAAGCCAUGGCCCAUGCGUACCUAUGUACACACGCUGAGAAUAAUAAUAAAUAAGUAGCAUUUAAAGUUACUUAAAAAGUAACCUGAAAGUAAUGGAUCAUAAUAGAGGCAGGAGUUUUAGCUUUGUGUGUGUGUGUGUGUGUGUGUGUGUGUGUGUGUGAGAGAGAGAGAGAGAGAGAGAGAGAGAGAGAGAGAAUUGCAAACUUCUACCCCACUGGGCUGUGUAUCUGGCCAUUUGCCUGCCAUUUCACGGCGGUUAAUAAAAUAACAACUCCUAGACUUGUGGAGGGAGGCGGCUUGUCAGGAUCAGAGUUUUGCUUUGAAAUAUUCCUGCUGUAGCCAAGCUCGAGUAGUCCACGGCUACCUGAUCACAGAAGCUGCUGUGGGGUGGGGACACGGGGCCCUGUCCUCCUCCUGUGCAUAAGCAAGGAAGAGUUCAUUUUAUAGACAGACGAAAAAACCAGGAUACGAGGAAGUAAUAAAUUGAACAGUAAUUUAUUUUUCCUUUAAAAAUAAAUUUGUUAUUGAGUUAGACAUAGUGUCAGCUCCAAAAUUUUUGCAAAUUCUUAAGCUUUCUGAGCUCAACAAGGCUCCAGAAAAUGGCCCAGCACACAUUCUAGAUU